rnacentral:rRNA from 1 species
GACGAACGCUGGCGGCGUGCUUAACACAUGCAAGUCGAGCGGUAAGGCCCUUUCGGGGGUACACGAGCGGCGAACGGGUGAGUAACACGUGGGUGACCUGCCCUCAGCUCUGGGAUAAGCCUGGGAAACCGGGUCUAAUACCGGAUAUGACUCCAUGACGCAUGUUGUGGGGUGGAAAGCCUUGUGCGGCUGAGGAUGGGCCCGCGGCCUAUCAGCUUGUUGGUGGGGUGAUGGCCUACCAAGGCGACGACGGGUAGCCGGCCUGAGAGGGCGACCGGCCACACUGGGACUGAGACACGGCCCAGACUCCUACGGGAGGCAGCAGUGGGGAAUCUUGCGCAACGGGCGAAAGCCUGACGCAGCGACGCCGCGUGAGGGAUGACGGCC